GGGGGUGAUCCGGUUUCGACGGGGCAUGCCGAGGUUUGAUUGCGCGUCGUGGAUUCUCGUCGGCCACGUAAAAAACGAGAACAAACUGUAAUUGCGAACAACGAUUACGCUCUCGCCGCCUAAGUAACGGCCGCGAUGUCGAGCCGCCGAUAUCUGCUGAGCGGUAAGGCAUAAUUUAGCAGGUCUCGCCGCAGGACGCUCCAUUCGCGCGCUACGGGGAGCCGAACCGAAUGGAUGAUUGCCGAUAAGCGCGCCGGUCCGCGUACGGCAGUCGAGAUUAAUGGUCGGAUACACGCGUAGAUGUCAGAUUGGAGCUGUUUCGGACAGGGGUUCGACUCCCCUCACCUCCACCA
rnacentral:tmRNA from 1 species